GAGGGAAACCGAGUCUUAAUUGGGCGUUAAGUUGCAGGGUAUAGACCCGAAACCCGGUGAUCUAGCCAUGGGCAGGUUGAAGGUUGGGUAACACUAACUGGAGGACCGAACCGACUAAUGUUGAAAAAUUAGCGGAUGACCUGUGGCUGGGGGUGAAAGGCCAAUCAAACCGGGAGAUAGCUGGUUCUCCCCGAAAGCUAUUUAGGUAGCGCCUCGUGAAUUCAUCUCCGGGGGUAGAGCACUGUUUCGGCUAGGGGGCCAUCCCGGCUUACCAACCCGAUGCAAACUGCGAAUACCGGAGAAUGUUAUCACGGGAGACACACGGCGGGUGCUAACGUCCGUCGUGAAGAGGGAAACAACCCAGACCGCCAGCUAAGGUCCCAAAGUCAUGGUUAAGUGGGAAACGAUGUGGGAAGGCCCAGACAGCCAGGAUGUUGGCUUAGAAGCAGCCAUCAUUUAAAGAAAGCGUAAUAGCUCACUGGUCGAGUCGGCCUGCGCGGAAGAUGUAACGGGGCUAAACCAUGCACCGAAGCUGCGGCAGCGACACUGUGUGUUGUUGGGUAGGGGAGCGUUCUGUAAGCCUGUGAAGGUGUGUCGUGAGGCAUGCUGGAGGUAUCAGAAGUGCGAAUGCUGACAUAAGUAACGAUAAAGCGGGUGAAAAGCCCGCUCGCCGGAAGACCAAGGGUUCCUGUCCAACGUUAAUCGGGGCAGGGUGAGUCGACCCCUAAGGCGAGGCCGAAAGGCGUAGUCGAUGGGAAACGGGUUAAUAUUCCCGUACUUGGUGUUACUGCGAAGGGGGGACGGAGAAGGCUAUGUUGGCCGGGCGACGGUUGUCCCGGUUUAAGCGUGUAGGCUGGUUUUCCAGGCAAAUCCGGAAAAUCAAGGCUGAGGCGUGAUGACGAGGCACUACGGUGCUGAAGCAACAAAUGCCCUGCUUCCAGGAAAAGCCUCUAAGCAUCAGGUAACAUCAAAUCGUACCCCAAACCGACACAGGUGGUCAGGUAGAGAAUACCAAGGCGCUUGAGAGAACUCGGGUGAAGGAACUAGGCAAAAUGGUGCCGUAACUUCGGGAGAAGGCACGCUGACACGUAGGUGAAGUGAUUUACUCAUGGAGCUGAAGUCAGUCGAAGAUACCAGCUGGCUGCAACUGUUUAUUAAAAACACAGCACUGUGCAAACACGAAAGUGGACGUAUACGGUGUGACGCCUGCCCGGUGCCGGAAGGUUAAUUGAUGGGGUCAGCGCAAGCGAAGCUCCUGAUCGAAGCCCCGGUAAACGGCGGCCGUAACUAUAACGGUCCUAAGGUAGCGAAAUUCCUUGUCGGGUAAGUUCCGACCUGCACGAAUGGCGUAAUGAUGGCCAGGCUGUCUCCACCCGAGACUCAGUGAAAUUGAACUCGCUGUGAAGAUGCAGUGUACCCGCGGCAAGACGGAAAGACCCCGUGAACCUUUACUAUAGCUUGACACUGAACAUUGAGCCUUGAUGUGUAGGAUAGGUGGGAGGCUUUGAAGUGUGGACGCCAGUCUGCAUGGAGCCGACCUUGAAAUACCACCCUUUAAUGUUUGAUGUUCUAACGUGGACCCGUUACCCGGGUUGCGGACAGUGUCUGGUGGGUAGUUUGACUGGGGCGGUCUCCUCCUAAAGAGUAACGGAGGAGCACGAAGGUUGGCUAAUCCUGGUCGGACAUCAGGAGGUUAGUGCAAUGGCAUAAGCCAGCUUGACUGCGAGCGUGACGGCGCGAGCAGGUGCGAAAGCAGGUCAUAGUGAUCCGGUGGUUCUGAAUGGAAGGGCCAUCGCUCAACGGAUAAAAGGUACUCCGGGGAUAACAGGCUGAUACCGCCCAAGAGUUCAUAUCGACGGCGGUGUUUGGCACCUCGAUGUCGGCUCAUCACAUCCUGGGGCUGAAGUAGGUCCCAAGGGUAUGGCUGUUCGCCAUUUAAAGUGGUACGCGAGCUGGGUUUAGAACGUCGUGAGACAGUUCGGUCCCUAUCUGCCGUGGGCGCUGGAGAACUGAGGGGGGCUGCUCCUAGUACGAGAGGACCGGAGUGGACGCAUCACUGGUGUUCGGGUUGUCAUGCCAAUGGCACUGCCCGGUAGCUAAAUGCGGAAGAGAUAAGUGCUGAAAGCAUCUAAGCACGAAACUUGCCCCGA
rnacentral:rRNA from 1 species